AUUGAACGCUGGCGGCAGGCCUAACACAUGCAAGUCGAGCGGGGUUUUCGGACCUAGCGGCGGACGGGUGAGUAAUGCGUAGGAAGCUGCCCGAUAGAGGGGGAUACCAGUUGGAAACGACUGUUAAUACCGCAUAAUGUCUACGGACCAAAGUGUGGGACCUUCGGGCCACAUGCUAUCGGAUGCGCCUACGUGGGAUUAGCUAGUUGGUGAGGUAAUGGCUCACCAAGGCGACGAUCUCUAGCUGGUUUGAGAGGAUGAUCAGCCACACUGGAACUGAGACACGGUCCAGACUCCUACGGGAGGCAGCAGUGGGGAAUAUUGGACAAUGGGCGCAAGCCUGAUCCUGCCAUGCCGCGUGUGUGAAGAAGGCCUUCGGGUUGUAAAGCACAUUCAGCGAGGAGGAAGGGGUGUGUGUUAAUAGUACACACCUUUGACGUUACUCGCAGAAGAAGCACCGGCUAACUCUGUGCCAGCCGCCGCGGUAAAAC
rnacentral:rRNA from 1 species